AUGCAAGAGGAGUCAAAGGAAUGGGCUAGGAAUUGCAAGGCUAUGAUGGAUGGGCCAGAUCUAUAUCAAGUCAACAAUGGUGAGAAAUCUUAUGCAGUAAACUUGAAGAACUGGACAUGUGGCUGCAGAAAGGACAUGAGAGGUGUACCAUGUAAUCAUGUUGUCUCUGCCAUCUACAAAUCUAAACAGCAGCCUGAAGAUUUUGUACAUCAGUUCUUCAAGAAGCCUAUGUACUUAGAAGCUUACAAGCCAAUGAUCCACCCUGUUCCUGGACCUGACCUAUGGACAAGAAUAGAUACAAGAGACAUAGACCCCCUGUGUUCCAUAGGAAGAAGGGCAGAAAGCAUACUGAGAGGAGGAAGGGGCAGUUUGAAGUACCAAAAUCCAAGGACACUUCUAGAAUUGGAACAAUAA
rnacentral:rRNA from 1 species